AUUGAACGCUGGCGGCAGGCUCAACACAUGCAAGUCGAGCGGGGUGAUGGUGCUUGCACUAUCACUUAGCGGCGGACGGGUGAGUAAUGCUUAGGAAUCUGCCUAUUAGUGGGGGACAACAUCUCGAAAGGGAUGCUAAUACCGCAUACGUCCUACGGGAGAAAGCAGGGGAUCACUUGUGACCUUGCGCUAAUAGAUGAGCCUAAGUCGGAUUAGCUAGUUGGUGGGGUAAAGGCCUACCAAGGCGACGAUCUGUAGCGGGUCUGGGAGGAUACUCGUGCACACAGGGACGCGCAGACGGAACACACAAAGCGGGGGGGCCUCAGAGAGAAAAAUUGGACAAUGAGGGGAACCUUGAUCAGGCCAUGCCGAGUGUGUAAAGAAAGACUUAUGGUUGUAAAGCACUUUAUACGAGGAGGGGGCUCUUUUGGUUAAUACCCAAGAUGAGUGGACGUUACUCGAAGAAUAUGCACCGGCUAACUCUGUGCCAGCCGCCGCCGUAA
rnacentral:rRNA from 1 species